rnacentral:rRNA from 1 species
UACGGAGGAUCCGAGCGUUAUCCGGAUUUAUUGGGUUUAAAGGGAGCGUAGGUGGAUUGUUAAGUCAGUUGUGAAAGUUUGCGGCUCAACCGUAAAAUUGCAGUUGAAACUGGCAGUCUUGAGUACAGUAGAGGUGGGCGGAAUUCGUGGUGUAGCGGUGAAAUGCUUAGAUAUCACGAAGAACUCCGAUUGCGAAGGCAGCUCACUGGACUGCAACUGACACUGAGGCUCGAAAGCGUGGGGAGCAAACAGG